AUUGAACGCUGACGGCGGGCUUAACACAUGCAAGUCGAGCGGUAACAGGAGAAGCUUGCUUCUCGCUGACGAGCGGCGGACGGGUGAGUAAUACUUAGGAAUCUACCUAGUAGUGGGGGAUAGCUCGGGGAAACUCGAAUUAGUACCGCACACGACCUACGGGAGAAAGGGGGCAACGUGUUGCUCUCGCUAUUAGAUGAGCCCAAGUCGGAUUAGCUAGAUGGUGGGGUAAAGGCCUACCAUGGCGACGAUCUGUAGCUGGUCUGAGAGGAUGAUCAGGCACACCGGGACAGAGACACGGCCCGGACUCCUACGGGAGGCAGCAGUGGGGAAUAUUGGACAAUGGGGGCAACCCUGAUCCAGCCAUGCCGCGUGUGUGAAGAAGGCCUUUUGGUUGUAAAGCACUUUAAGCAGUGAAGAAGACUCUAGGGUUAAUACCCUUAGACGAUGACAUUAGCUGCAGAAUAAGCACCGGCUAACUCUGUGCCAGCCGCCGCCGUAA
rnacentral:rRNA from 1 species